GAUGAACGCUAGCGGCAGGCCUAACACAUGCAAGUCGAGGGAGGAGCCUUCGGGCUUCGACCGGCGUACGGGUGCGUAACGCGUAUACAAUCUGCCUUUCACAUAGGGAUAGCCCGAAGAAAUUUGGAUUAAUACCUAAUGGUAUAUAGAUGUGGCAUCACCUUUAUAUUAAAGCUGAGGCGGUGAAAGAUGAGUAUGCGUUCUAUUAGCUAGUUGGAGAGGUAACGGCUCCCCAAGGCGACGAUAGAUAGGGGUUCUGAGAGGGAUAUCCCCCACACUGGUACUGAGAUACGGACCAGACGCCUACGGGAGGCAGCAGUGAGGAAUAUUGGACAAUGGUCGGAAGACUGAUCCAGCCAUGCCGCGUGCAGGAAGACGGCCUUAUGGGUUGUAAACUGCUUUUGCAGGGGAAGAAUAAGGACUACGCGUAGUUUGAUGACGGUACUCUGCGAAUAAGCAUCGGCUAACUCCGU
rnacentral:rRNA from 1 species